AGAGUUUAUAGGGUUCCGCUAGAAUAUAUGAUAAAAAAUGUGAUUAUGUUUUUGGUUUUCGAUUGUUUGUGAUAGUUUGUAGUGGUAAAGGAAACAAAUAAGAAGCAUUCGUUAAAUAGGAAACUUUAAACAGAUUCUUAUACAUAUAAGAUGGAAGCGUUUUCUCAGGAAAUACAAAAGUAUUUGAUGAAAAUGGAGCAGAGACAUGGUAAACUACGAUUUCUCUCGUCUCGAGCAACAGAAGAGACUUCACACACCAUUAACGAGAUAGUAGAAACCAUCUCUAGCAUCUUUCAAAGCACAAAAUGCAUCUAAUGCAAAACGAAAUAAGUAAUCCUAGAAUGAAAAGUAUUAUAUUACGCUAAACGUUGCUUGCGGUUACAACUGGCUUUUGUUGAAUACGUAUUUCAAAGUACAAACUUUCCUCACGGAGGACGUGCGAUAUGGUCACAUGGUUGGACAGUGGCCCCCAUUAUCACCGUAUCUCUUUAUACAGAUAAUAUGGAGCUUCAAGUAUGAGAUGAUACUGGCCGAAUCAUUGAUGUACAUACCUUUGGAUCUGUGCGUAGAGAUCUUGGAGAUAGUAGUCAAGUGCAUUCCUGAGCUGGAAUACAAACGAGCGAAGCAUCUGAUCAUACAAUUGACCAGCAACAUAUACAAAAGGUGCCUACAGUUGCACAAGACACGAUCAUCAAAGGAAAAUGGGAGGGAAUACGCAUGGCAAUUAGUCGCGUAUUUUCAAAUGUUGCUGGACCCGCUGACUGACUUGAGGAGAACUCGUUUCUCCAUGCUACCCAUCGUACCCGAGACGAUGUACGAGGAGCAUGGCAUUCUCAUAAAGACGUUGCUUCGCCACACCAAGAACUGUAUAUGCAUGCAAGGAGUAACAAACGAGGACAGCACUUCGGCGACAUUUUUUACCCUUGGCUUGCGCAGAUAUGAAGACACGCUUCCUGUUGAGGAUAUAAAGGUCAUUACGCAGAAGCUGGCACAGGAAUUAAUCGCCGUGUUGUUGAACCAGAUUAAGAAGGUCGACUGUCACGAGUACUUCUACUGGGCGGAAGUCGAUGACACGGAUAACUUCGCGAUCUCGUUGCAGCGUGCAAUUGCUAUUGAAUGCCAGGAUUUAUAGACUUCAUGAAGCGAGAUAUCUUCCCGGAAAGGAAUGACCAUUUGGAGGAAUGCUUGAAGCAAUUCGCGGGAGAUCGGCAAGCGACCGAGUCCGUUUUCACUAUUCAAGAAUUGCGUUAUUGCAUCGUUAAUGGCAAACUGGAAUAUUUUAAAGAACUGAUGGAUCGCUACAAGGAGUGGGACGAAUCUGUAUUGGAUUUUCUUGAAGAGCACAUGCAAUUGUGCGUCGCGCAUAUGACGAAAUACAAUACGAGCACCUUAUUGGAAUAUGUUUAUGUAUUUACCACGCAGAAUCUCUGGUCGAAAUUGUACUCGAGUUUUAUUUUGAAGUCGGUGCUGAGAAUAUUAUCGACAGUGAACGUAAUGGAAUUCUAUUGCAUCGUAUUGCGAUACGCGAUAAAGCAUGUACACGACAAUCCUCUCACGGAAUUGUACAGCGAGAAGGCCUUCAUGCAAUUUGUAGCGUCUAAUAAAAACAUAUGUGAACAUCACAUGAUGCGUUACGUUCUAGAAAACUUUCUGCUGAAUACGAAAGCAGUAACGCUCACCCUGACGAAAAUUCUGAUUGGCAACGUGCAAGUCGAUCAUCCUCUGUUCACAACGAAGAAGAUAGUGGCACUGCAAUCGUUUUUCAAAAUCAAAGUGAACAAUGAGUAUAACGUACUGAUAUCGUGCCUAAAAAAAAUUGUUUGCAUAACAAAUCCCUCGUGGAAUUCUAAGAGGUUCAUACAUUUCGUGGACAUCAUGUUACAGAACGAGGUGAUAUCCACGGACCAGUUGAUGAACAACGUUUACAUUUCUUAUCUGACUGGUGCCUCCUUCAACUUCCUCAAUUUAAUGUGCGUGUUGCUGUGCAUACGCGAUAUUCUGAAGAAUAAAGAUUCGUCAAAUGCAACGAAUUACUCGCUAUUGGUGAUAGCGUUAGUAAGGAGAAUAUCGAGCAUAAGAAAGAAUAGGCAUUUUCCAGUCCGUAUUAUUAACAAAAUGUUAAAUGAUAUAGACAGUAUAUUAGAAAUAUUGCAUAACAUAUUUCUGGAAAAGGAGAAAUUGGUAAACAAGGACGAAAUAAUUCAUGCAAUCAAUGGAUCGGUGGAGCCGCUCGAUCAGGCUACCAUAGCGCCUAUGAUUAAAUCCCAUGGAACUGUAAUGGAAAUAAUCCAGGAUUACGAAAAACGGUGCUUCGUCAUACAUACGCGAUUCCGCACAGGUGCACAUGUAUACAAUGUCAACCGACGCAAACUGAUAUGUACCAUCAACCUAGAUCGAAAAAGCUUGAUCCGCCAUAUGAUUUUGCAUGCCACCACCAUAGAGUACAUCGAUUACAUGUGCGAAAUGAGACGAAUAAGUUGGUUUCAUUUUGGUUGGUCCAGCGAAAGAAAUGCAUUUGAGAACAUAAUACUCAUUACCAUCGAGGCGAUGAAAGUCGUUAUGAUUUACGAGAAAAAUUUUCCCGAAGAUAAGUUUGUAAUGCUGCUACUCUCCGCCGUGAAAUUUUGCGAGAUAGUCGCGGAUGAUUUAAAGGACUCAGGAUACGUGAUCAACGUUCUGUUGCUGAACUUGGCAACCUUGAAUGAUAUAGUCAGCUAUACGCCUUACGCUAAAAUGUUCAACCUUAUGCUCUCGCGUAUCAAAGACAGCUUGACACAAUCCAUGCAUAAAUAUACGUACUUUAGAGACAUCCUCUCGUGGAUCAAGGUGUAUCUUGUAAACGCCGAGCCUUUAAUGAAGCCAACUGAAGAUAUACCUGUUACCUUGGGCGUCCAGAAAUUGUACAUCUUGUACUUACUUGUCUGCGUAUACCUCAAGAUAUCCAACAAACAAGAUUAUUCUUGUAUUGAUAGGAUGUGGAACUCUAUCGGCAACUCUCUAUUAAGACUUGAUGACGCAUAAAAAAAUAUUUACACGCGGUUUUUAAUAGAAUAAUCAAGUAUUAAACUAAUGUCCGAAUUGAGUACAGAGAAAGUGAGUGUAGAAAAGUCAAGUAAUUUAAGAAGAGUUGUAAUAAAAUUUUGAUACAGUUUUUAAUACAGCUUUAAUAGAAUUAUAACUGUUCGCUCAGAAAGAAUCCAUCAUUAAUAGAAAAUGUUAUUAUUAAAUGCCAUUAUUAAAUAUUUUUCUUUCAAAUAAUUUAAUGCUUGAAAGAAAAUAUUAUCAUUUGAAUAUAUAUUAUUUUAAAUCUAUUUCAUUUUUACUAACAAACUUUAUUUGAAAUAUAUAGACAGUAUAAAUGUUUUUCCUGAAAGACUGCAGUUUUGUAAUUAUAGUAUUUACUAGUAACUCUUGUAUUUAUAUUAAUAUGUAUUUUUCUGAAAAACAGUGUAUUUUUGUGAUUUGCGAUUGGUACAUGUACCAAUUACGCGUACUUCAUAGAAGCGCAUGUAGAAUAUAGUUCAAUAAUAAUUUUGUAUUUUUUAGAUGCAUACACGAUCUGUCCAGCCUCUGUGUCUAAUUUUAAAAAAAUUAAAAAAUUUUUUGUAGCGUUAUCUUUAAAUGAAAGUACGAAGCUUGACAUUUUAUGAUGAUGACGAUCCAAAAUUUCAAGGCGCAUUAGUUCUGACGUAAAAUGUGCCAAUACUUUAUUGACUUAUUGACAAAAAAACAUUAUGGAACAAACAGCUAAUAUUAAACUUUGCUUUAAGCUGAGCAAAAUAGCUGACGGAACGUAUGAAAUAACGAAAAGUCUGUACUAGUGAUUAUUUGUCGUUUCGGAUCGUUUCAACAUUUUCAAAUGGUACACUCGAUUUCGUAACGGCAAGGAAAACAUCACAAACGCUUUAUGAGCACUGUCGCCAAAAAAAGUACUUCCGAAAACGUGCAAAAACUUAAAAUCCUUCGAUCAGAUUGCAGUGUGUUUGCAAAACUCAUCAAGGAAUUCACUGGCUUAUAUAUCUAAAAGCACUCAAAUUCUGAUCGAGAUUUGGGCAAACGGAAGGCACACUUCGUACCGCAUACGCUGACAGAGAAUCCAAGGGAUGCUAAAGUGGAACACUCCAGAUACACGAAGAACGGUCGAUAUUGAUCUGAAUUUUAUGAAAAUAUCCUAAUUACUAAAAAAACAUAGUAUUUUCAAUAUGAACCACUUAAAAUGACGAUUAUUCUUACAACUCAAGUUGGCGAUGAAAGGAAAACGUUACGAAAUCGUUCAGAACAUUCAAAGCUCGCUUUUGUAGGUGAUUCCAAAAAUGAAGUACAAUGACUGUUCUGGAAAAUAUUUUAAACACUUCCGACGUUUUAUUGACUCAGAAGGAAUGUAUUUUGAGAACAAAAAAUAAGAAAUAAUUGAUGUUAUAUUGAUUUUAUAUUUUUUGGUACCAGAGCCUGGACAGUCCGUGUAUGUAAAGUAAUAAGGAAAAGAAAAAAUUGUUCAACUGUACAAAAUAAUAAUUUUACAUUCAUUAAG